AUUGAACGCUGGCGGCAGGCCUAACACAUGCAAGUCGAGCGAGCGGCGGACGGGUGAGUAAUGCCUAGGAAUCUGCCUGGUAGUUGGGGAUAACGUCCGGAAACGGUAGCUAAUACCGCAUACCAUCGGAUGUGCCCAGAUGGGAUUAGCUAGUAGGGGGGGUAAAGGCUCACCUAGGCGACGAUCCCUCGCUGGUCUGAGAGGAUGACCAGCCACACUGGAACUGAGAAACGGUCCAGACUCCUACGGGAGGCAGCAUUGGGGAAUAUUGCACAAUGGGCGAAAGCCUGAGGCAGCCAUGCCGCGUGUAUGAAGAAGGCCUUCGGGUUGUAAAGUACUUUCAGCGGGGAGGCGUUACCCGCAGAAGAAGCACCGGCUAACUCCGUGCCAGCCGCCGCGGUAAUAC
rnacentral:rRNA from 1 species